rnacentral:lncRNA from 1 species
CUCCAAGACAAGCUAUCAGCCUGCCUGUUUUCUCUUUUCUCUCUGCUCUCCCCAGAAGUUCACCCCAACACAGUUAGGAGACAAGAGAAUGGCCAUUCAGGUUACUGCUCUGGUGUUUUGUUUCAAAAGCCAUCAAAACACUUCCAGAGGAAGAACUGGAGUUAGGAAUGUCUAAGGUUCCAUGCAAACAGUCUUUUGCCUUUGCAUUUUGCAUGUCUUUCAUUAUCUCAAUCUGUUCUUGUUCUAAGUGUCAGGAAGAAGUGAAGAAGAGUGCCAUCAUAUUUCAUGUAGUUUGCACAUAUUUGUCGCAACAUCAGUGGGGACAUAAAGGAGUGAAGCUUGAAACCAAGCAUCCAUCCAUCUGUGGAGGUCUUAGUACCACUGAGGUCAGAAGCAGUGGACUUGCUAACGUGGGUGUAAGUCAUACAGUCAAAGCAUGGAUGGGAAUCUAAUGAUCUCGCCCACACAAGAGGAGAACUGUUCCCUUGAAAGGAUCGACAGUAGCCGGGCUGUUUUAAAAUACCAUAAUAAAUGGUAUUCUCUACUAGUGGGACACGAUGCUCAGUGUUACGACCUGUUUCCAGACAAUGGUUUAAUUAAACAUUUAAUGGAUGCAUCUCAUUUCUUUGCACGAGCUCCACUCUAAACAACCGAGCUAAUAAUGUAAGCACCACAGUUUGAUGAUUAAAAUGAGAGUUUUCAUGAACACUGCCCCCCUGACAAACAAAAGGGCUGAUACCGUGCAGAGGAAGCUGGGUCCCUGUGAGCCCACAGCGCAGUGACCCACAUUUAGCAUGAAACCAGAUUUAUGGCUGACCAUCAGCAUUUUAA